AGUGGAAUUGUUGGGCCAUAUGGUAAUUCUGCAUUUAGCUUUUUAAGAAACUGCCAGGCUGUUUUCCAAAGGGGCUGCACCAUUUUACAUUCCCACCAGCUAU
rnacentral:pre_miRNA from 1 species